rnacentral:rRNA from 1 species
GAGAGUUUGAUCCUGGCUCAGAUUGAACGCUAGCGGGAUGCUUUACACAUGCAAGUCGAACGGCAGCGCGAGAGAGCUUGCUCUCUUGGCGGCGAGUGGCGGACGGGUGAGUAAUAUAUCGGAACGUGCCCAGUAGCGGGGGAUAACUACUCGAAAGAGUGGCUAAUACCGCAUACGCCCUACGGGGGAAAGGGGGGGAUCGCAAGACCUCUCACUAUUGGAGCGGCCGAUAUCGGAUUAGCUAGUUGGUGGGGUAAAGGCUCACCAAGGCAACGAUCCGUAGCUGGUUUGAGAGGACGACCAGCCACACUGGGACUGAGACACGGCCCAGACUCCUACGGGAGGCAGCAGUGGGGAAUUUUGGACAAUGGGGGAAACCCUGAUCCAGCCAUCCCGCGUGUAUGAUGAAGGCCUUCGGGUUGUAAAGUACUUUUGGCAGAGAAGAAAAGGUAUCCCCUAAUACGGGAUACUGCUGACGGUAUCUGCAGAAUAAGCACCGGCUAACUACGUGCCAGCAGCCGCGGUAAUACGUAGGGUGCAAGCGUUAAUCGGAAUUACUGGGCGUAAAGCGUGUGUAGGCGGUUCGGAAAGAAAGAUGUGAAAUCCCAGGGCUCAACCUUGGAACUGCAUUUUUAACUGCCGAGCUAGAGUAUGUCAGAGGGGGGUAGAAUUCCACGUGUAGCAGUGAAAUGCGUAGAUAUGUGGAGGAAUACCGAUGGCGAAGGCAGCCCCCUGGGAUAAUACUGACGCUCAGACACGAAAGCGUGGUGGAGCAAACAGGAUUAGAUACCCUGGUAGUCCACGCCCUAAACGAUGUCAACUAGCUGUUGGGGCCGUUAGGCCUUAGUAGCGCAGCUAACGCGUGAAGUUGACCGCCUGGGGAGUACGGUCGCAAGAUUAAAACUCAAAGGAAUUGACGGGGACCCGCACAAGCGGUGGAUGAUGUGGAUUAAUUCGAUGCAACGCGAAAAACCUUACCUACCCUUGACAUGUCUGGAAAGCCGAAGAGAUUUGGCCGUGCUCGCAAGAGAACCGGAACACAGGUGCUGCAUGGCUGUCGUCAGCUCGUGUCGUGAGAUGUUGGGUUAAGUCCCGCAACGAGCGCAACCCUUGUCAUUAGUUGCUACGCAAGAGCACUCUAAUGAGACUGCCGGUGACAAACCGGAGGAAGGUGGGGAUGACGUCAAGUCCUCAUGGCCCUUAUGGGUAGGGCUUCACACGUCAUACAAUGGUCGGGACAGAGGGUCGCCAACCCGCGAGGGGGAGCCAAUCUCAGAAACCCGAUCGUAGUCCGGAUCGCAGUCUGCAACUCGACUGCGUGAAGUCGGAAUCGCUAGUAAUCGCGGAUCAGAAUGUCGCGGUGAAUACGUUCCCGGGUCUUGUACACACCGCCCAUCACACCA